UGAAAAGGACUUCCACUGUUUUACUGUGUUUUAUUGAAAGACACGUGGUCAAGUGUAGAAAAGAUACAUUACAAGUCUACAAUCCUAAGAAGUGUCUGACAACCUAACAAGCAGUUCGCUAACAUCAUUCAUUUUAGUAUAAAUGCAUGUAAUUACCGAUGCCGUAAGAACAGACUUUCCCGUUAAAAACACCCUGCAUUAGUCCGUGAGGUAAGAGGUUUAUUAUGGAAACGUGUUGUCUGGUGGUAUUUCCUCUGUAAACUCUUAGAAAUCCCAGUCUUAGACUAAACAGUGAGCAGCCAUGAUGUUUCCACAUAGACAUACAAACAUGACAGGCUUUCACUCUAUACUUCUAAGACCUAAACAUAUACCUCGCCUUUAGAAUGGCUGGACAGGUUCCUCCAAAGCUAUGGGGUUCCCCAAUGAUGCCAUUGUCCUCAAAUAUCGCCCUUCUUCUGUCCAUGGUCAAUGUGCCCUGUUGUUCUCUGGUGAAGGGUGUUUAGGGCAUAAUCUAGGGCGUAAGGUGCCAUUUAGGACACGCACAUCUGGACAGGACACAAGGGGGUUGGGAGUCUGGUUCUGUCUUCCAGUCCGGAAGGGAAAUAGGGUGAGCAUUACUUCCUGGUGAUCCCUGGCGUUUCCUGUCCCUCCCGUGUCCCGAGGCUGGCAGCUGGACAGCCUGUGAAAGAGAACAGUGGGAGAAGAGGAGCUGCUAUCAGAACAAUUACAACGUACAGUAACGUACAGUUCAAAAUACAGCGGCAACAGUCAUAAAGUGACUUGUCUGCCUUCUCAUUGGGAUCUUCCUUUACAGGGUGUAAGCGUUAAUCAGGGGUCCAAGGAAGAGUGCUACGGGGGAACUACAUGGAGGUUGAUUCUGUCUGCUGGUGGUGGUGCAUUGGUCAGCAGGGCCGGAGGGUGACUGGUGUGCUGGUGUGGGCUGGACUCCUGUUCCUGCUGAACUGAGCCAGCCAUUCAGUAGUACUGUAAUCAGCUCAGUAGGCACAGGAGGCACAGUCCUCAAAGACCAGUUGUGUCACAAGCUGUCGUGCGGUUGAUGACGGUCUUUGUCGCGGUGACACACCUGCGCCACUGAGAGGCAAGUCUCUUCCAGGUUCUGAUAUCAAAUCGACAGCCCAUUCAAAAUAACAGUAAGGCCAGGUGGG
ensembl:lncRNA